rnacentral:rRNA from 1 species
UACGUAGGUGGCGAGCGUUGUCCGGAUUUACUGGGCGUAAAGGGAGCGUAGGCGGACUUUUAAGUGAGAUGUGAAAUACUCGGGCUCCACUUGAGUGCUGCAUUUCAAACUGGAAGUCUAGAGUGCAGGAGGGGAGAAUGGAAUUCCUAGUGUAGUGGUGAAAUGCGUAGAGAUUAGGAAGAACACCAGUGGCGAAGGCGAUUCUCUGGACUGUAACUGACGCUGAGGCUCGAAAGCGUGGGGAGCAAACAGG